rnacentral:rRNA from 1 species
GACGAACGCUGGCGGCGUGCCUAAUACAUGCAAGUAGAACGCACAGUUUAUACCGUAGCUUGCUACACCAUAGACUGUGAGUUGCGAACGGGUGAGUAACGCGUAGGUAACCUGCCUGGUAGCGGGGGAUAACUAUUGGAAACGAUAGCUAAUACCGCAUAAUAUUGAUUAUUGCAUGAUAAUUGAUUGAAAGAUGCUAUUGCAUCACUACCAGAUGGACCUGCGUUGUAUUAGCUAGUAGGUGAGGUAACGGCUCACCUAGGCGACGAUACAUAGCCGACCGGGGAGGGUGAUCGGCCACACUGGGACUGAGACACGGCCCAGACUCCUACGGGAGGCAGCAGUAGGGAAUCUUAGGCAAUGGACGAAAGUCUGACCGAGCAACGCCGCGUGAGUGAAGAAGGUUUUCGGAUCGUAAAGCUCUGUUGUAAGAGAAGAACGGGUGUGAGAGUGGAAAGUUCACACUGUGACGGUAUCUUACCAGAAAGGGACGGCUAACUACGUG